GCCCUCGUUGUCUAAUGGUUAUGACGUCAGACUUCUACCGCGAGGGUGUGAUCUGGAGGUUGCGAGUUCGAGUCUCGCCGGGGGUA